UCACCCCUCCAGCCCUGUGCUUGGUGUUGGACGGCCGGUCGAGCGAUCGACCCCUCCUAAAGACAAUGACGGCGGCCUGUGGUUCCCCCGGUACACUGAGCUUUUCACCGAGCACGUAUCGGACAAGGGCACCCGGGACCCGGUCCUCUCCUUUCACAAAAGGAAACUUUCUAU
rnacentral:misc_RNA from 1 species